GGUCGGGUGGGCCGACCGGCUGGCCGCGCUGCUGUCGGCCGCGCAGGGCGGGGUGGAGUACGCCAACCUCGCCGUCCGGGGUCGGCUGCUCGGCCA
rnacentral:tRNA from 1 species